rnacentral:rRNA from 1 species
UGGGGAAUAUUGGACAAUGGGCGCAAGCCUGAUCCAGCAAUGCCGCGUGGGUGAAGAAGGUCUUCGGAUUGUAAAGCCCUUUCGGCGGGGACGAUGAUGGCGGUACCCGCAGAAGAAGCCCCGGCUCACUUCCUGCCAGCCGCCGCGGUGAUACGCAGGGGGCGAGGGUUGCUCGGCAUUACUGGGCGUAAAGGGGGCGUCGGGGGCGCGGCUAGUCAGGCGUGCGCUUCAUGGGCUUAACCUGGGCGC